rnacentral:rRNA from 1 species
CCUAUGGGGCUGCAGUGGGGAAUAUUGGACAAUGGGCGAAAGCCUGAUCCAGCCAUGCCGCGUGUGUGAAGAAGGCCUUCGGGUUGUAAAGCACUUUCAGUGGGGAAGAAAGCCUUGGGGCUAAUACCCUCGAGGAAGGACAUCACCCACAGAAGAAGCACCGGCUAACUCCGUGCCAGCAGCCGCGGUAAUACGGAGGGUGCGAGCGUUAAUCGGAAUUACUGGGCGUAAAGCGCGCGUAGGCGGUCUGAUAAGCCGGUUGUGAAAGCCCCGGGCUCAACCUGGGAACGGCAUCCGGAACUGUCAGGAUAGAGUGCAGGAGAGGAAGGUAGAAUUCCCGGUGUAGCGGUGAAAUGCGUAGAGAUCGGGAGGAAUACCAGUGGCGAAGGCGGCCUUCUGGACUGACACUGACGCUGAGGUGCGAAAGCGUGGGUAGCAAACAGGAUUAGAUACCCUAGUAGUC